rnacentral:sRNA from 1 species
GGGUGGCGCGGGUCCGGGCAUGAAGCUGGGCCGGGCCGUGCUGGGCCUGCUGCUGCUGGCGCCGUCCGUGGUGCAGGCGGUGGAGCCCAUCAGCCUGGGACUGGCCCUGGCCGGCGUCCUCACCGGCUACAUCUACCCGCGUCUCUACUGCCUCUUCGCCGAGUGCUGCGGGCAGAAGCGGAGCCUUAGCCGGGAGGCACUGCAGAAGGAUCUGGACGACAAGCUCUUUGGACAGCAUCUUGCAAAGAAAAUCAUCUUAAAUGCUGUGUUUGGUUUCAUAAACAACCCAAAGCCCAAGAAACCUCUCACGCUCUCCCUGCACGGGUGGACAGGCACCGGCAAAAAUUUCGUCAGCAAGAUCAUCGCAGAGAAUAUUUACGAGGGUGGUCUGAACAGUGACUAUGUCCACCUGUUUGUGGCCACAUUGCACUUUCCACAUGCUUCAAACAUCACCUUGUACAAGGCAAGGAUGGAAGUUUGGAAUCCCUUCCUGGAUGUCAUCGGGUUUGGGGUCUCUUUGUUGUGGGAUGAAAUUUGGGAGUUCUAUGUUGAAAUGAGUGAGCCCGGAAAACGGUUCAUGUCUCAGUUCCCCUUGGAAAGGUGUAGAAGUUAGAGUUUGAGAUGCGUGGAGCAGUUAAUACCAUCAAAGCUUUGUGGUGGGUUCUGAAAAUCGGUCCAGUGAGUAUGUAGGGUCAUGGGAUUUUAGAGGUGGACAUGAUCAAAUCCAUCUUAGAGAUCAACACAUCUCACUCAUUUUUUUCUUUUUUUCUUUAUUUUGAGACGGAGUUUCACUCUUGUUACCCGGGCUGGAGUGCAAUGGCAUGAUCUCAGCUCACUGCAACCUCUGCCUCCCGGUUCAAGCAAUUAUCCUGCCUCAGCCUCCCAGGUAGCUGGGAUUACAGGCUCCUGCCACCAUGCCCAGCUAAUUUUUGUAUUUUUAGUAGAGAUGGGGUUUUGCCAACUUGGCCAGACUGGUCUCAAACUCCUGAUCUCAGGUGAUGUGCCUGCCUCAGCCUCCCGAAGUGCUGGGAUUACAGGCGUGAGCCACCAUGCCUGGCCACAUCUCACUCAUUUUGUGAAAGAGGAAACAUGUAGAGUCCUAAGUUUGUUGAACCUACUGUUGUAAACUGCCUUUUUUUUUUUCUUUGAGUCAGGGUCUCACUCUGUUGUCCAGGCUGGAGUGCAGUGACGCCAUCUCGGCUCACUACAACCUCCACCUUCCCGGUUCAAGUGAUUCUCCUGCCUCAGCCUCCCAAGUAGCUGCGACUACAGGCAUGUGCCACCACAGCCGGCUAAUUUUUGUAUUUCUAGUAGAGAUGGGGUUUCCUCACAUUGGCCAGGCUGGUCUCGAACUCCUGACCUCAAGUGAUCUGCCUACCUCAGCCUCCCAAAGUGCUAGGAUUACAGGCAUGAGCCACCUUGCCCAGCCGCAAACAGCUUUUAUGGUUGAACUCACUGAUGAGCAGCUUGGGCUUUGGCAGCAGACACAUCUGGAUUUGAGUCCUAACACUCUCCCAGCUCCGUAGUCUUAGGAAAGUCGCCUGACCUGAGACUCAGAUUCUGACUUACAAAGUGUUGCUUGUAACAAUCCAGGGAGCUCUGUCUGUCAAGUGUGUAACAUGUACCUGGUGCAUGUUACAAAUAAAUGUUAACUGUUGCCUUUUA